CUCUCAAGCUUAGACAAUACUCUUCCUGCCUUUUCACGCACCAAACGCCCCGAAUUUUUCGAUAAAUCUUUAUGACUACGCACUUAUAUUUGAUUCAAUUCCAGUGGAAGCUGACGCAGGUUAUCUUUUGACCUUUUGAUAUCUGAAUAAUUGAUACGCAUUAAUGUUUCUAUCAUAGCAAAGAACGGAGCUUUGAUUAGAAAUUCAGAAUUUACGGUGUUUCUCCCGAAGAUUUCAGGUUUUGGGGGACUUGGGGUUUCUUUUUAUCUGUAUUGAAAUAAGAAAACCCGUGUCUGAAUAUUUUCAACAGUAAUGGCAUCAAAUUAACCACAGAAUCAAAGAUGACAAGGUUUCUGG
rnacentral:lncRNA from 1 species